rfam:Triticum aestivum genome assembly, contig: Triticum_aestivum_CS42_TGACv1_scaffold_198337_3AL
UUUCUUCUCCCUCUGUCCGAAAAUACUUGUCAUCAAAAUGGAUAAAAAGAGAUGUAUCUAAAACUAAAAUACGUCUAGAUACAUUUCCUUUUAUCCAUUUUGAUGACAAGUAUUUCCAGACGGAGGGAGUAUUUG